UACGGAGGGGGCUAGCGUUGUCCGGAAUUACUGGGCGUAAAGCGCGCGUAGGCGGACCUGCAAGUCGGGGGUGGAAAGCCCGAGGCUCAACCUCGGAACUGCCUUCGAUACUGCGGGGUCUCGAGUCCGGGGAGAGGUGAGUGGAAUUCCUAGUGUAGAGGUGAAAUUCGUAGAUAUUAGGAAGAACACCAGUGGCGAAGGCGGC
rnacentral:rRNA from 1 species